GACGUAGGAGACGAGCGUUGUCCGGAUUUACUGGGCGUAAAGCGCGCGCAGGCGGCCCCGCAGGUCGGUUGUGAAAGCCCCCGGCUCAACCGGGCGGAGGCGAGCGAAACCGCGGGGCUGGAGGCUGGCAGAGGGUGGUGGAAUUCCCGGUGUAGUGGUGAAAUGCGUAGAUAUCGUAAGGAAGACCAGUGACGAAGGCGAAUCUCUGGACAGUUACUGACACUGAGGCACGAAGGCCAGGGGAGCAAACGGG
rnacentral:rRNA from 1 species